AACUACGGAUAAAGUGCGGUGUGG
rnacentral:siRNA from 1 species